CUACGGGUGGCUGCAGUGAGGAAUAUUGCACAAUGGGGGGAACCCUGAUGCAGCAACGCCGCGUGGAGGAUGACGCAUUUCGGUGUGUAAACUCCUUUUAUAUGUCAAGAAAAUGACGGUAGCAUAUGAAUGAGCGCCGGCUAACUCCGUGCCAGCAGCCGCGGUAAUACGGAGGGCGCAAGCGUUACUCGGAAUCACUGGGCGUAAAGGACGCGUAGGCGGGUUGAAAAGUCAGGUGUGAAAGCCUACGGCUUAACUGUAGAACUGCACUUGAAACUCUCAAUCUAGAGUAUGGGAGGGGCAGAUGGAAUUAGUGGUGUAGGGGUAAAAUCCGUAGAUAUCACUAGGAAUACCUAAAGCGAAGGCGAUCUGCUGGAACAUUACUGACGCUAAGGCGUGAAAGCGUGGGGAGCAAACAGGAUUAGAUACCCGCGUAGUC
rnacentral:rRNA from 1 species